UGAGAAGUUCAAGGAGAAGGACAUUGCAUACUUGUUCAAGGCUUUAUUCGUUCAAGAUUCUAGCACUCGUCUGUUUGAUGCUUUGGAGCAUUGUGGACUUGCAUUUGGAUAUACUAUAAGGUUGCAUAAGGAUUCUGUUUUUGUUAUGUGCUAACCCUGAUCAGUGUCAUCAAAAUUCAGAAGCUCCUACUUGGGAAUUAUUCCUUGAUUUUGCUACUUUGGAAUUUCUUUGUAACCAUCUCCGUGCAAGAAGAUGCUUAAAUAGGAAAAAUUUGUAAUUAUAAUUUGGAAGAUGUAAUGAAGCAAAGAUAUUAGCGCAAUAUUUGUUUGAUGCAUUUCUAUCUCAUUUUGGUACAUAUUGGCAUGUGCUCUUGUAUUGAAAAUCCCUCUUCACUGAAACAUCACCCUGGUCCAUAUAAAAUGAAAGCAAAUAUACUAGUUUUAUAUAUCACGCUAGCAUUUUGCACAUCACUGUCGAAUUUGGAGAUGGGGUAUGUCGAGCCUCUGAUCAUGUAAUAGAUAACUUGUGUUAAGCUUAUUAAGUACCAUCCGAAGCAAAGAUCUAGACCUUAGAGGCGACUUUUGUUUCAGCACUUAAAAAAAGGUAAAAGAAAAACCUAUAAACAAACAUAAUGAAACUAUUGAAAGUCCAAAUUCUUUGUCCAACAAAAAGAUGGAAAUAGUUGAAUAUUUUAGGCAAAAAUUCAAAUUUCCACUUCACUAUUAUUAAAGUUCGUAAAAGUUUGAAAAGUUCAAGAAGUGGAAUUCUCCACAUCAAACAAAAACUAAAGAUCUAUCCCAUAACAAGGAUGUGAGAAAGCAAUAGAAAAUGACUAUUCACCAUAACAAGGAUCCUCCUGAAAACAAUCGAAAGAUCUAUCCCAAACCAAAUACCAAACCAUAAAAUUUUGCAUCAUUGUUACUUAUGCAUGUACUGAAUACCAAACCAAAACUAAGAAUCUUCUCAGCAAAACUAGUACUUCAGUGACCACCAUGACGGAUGGCUUGAAAAUAGUGACAAAAUAAGACAAGACUAUCAGUGACCACCGAUCUUGCAGCCUCACGCUUCAUCUCAGCAGCUUUGCCACUGCCUCAGAAAUGCAUAUAAACUUGCUGCACACCACAGGAAGAACAAAGAGGCUCAUAAAAAAACUAGAAACACAAAGGAGGAGCAGGGGAUAAAAACAUGAACAAACUAAAUAGUAAGAAUCCUCUACCUGAAUAACCCAGAUGCUGAUCAAUGAUUCAAGGGCAAAAAAUCCAAAUCCAAUAAAGUAAAAAAUCUGCAAGUGAAAACAAUUGUCAAUAUAACAAUUGUCAUUUAGUUCUAGGAAUUCACUUUCUUAAUUAGAAUAAAAGGAACAUAAAGGAACAAACUGAAGCUACAUUGGGAAAAAAAACAUUAGUACAUUUAGUCUUUGCUACUUUUAUCUGAAAAUCCAGGCCACUUCCUUGCUAUUUAACAAGAUUUGGUACAUUGCUUUUCAAAAUUGAAAGUGGACUCACAUUUUGGGGACAGAGGGAGUAUUAGUUUCAAAUGUUGAGGAAGUAUGGUCAUCCAAAAGAGGCAAUGUAAAUAUUACGAUACUACCAAACUGAAGAAAGAGAAAACUAAUCAAAGUGUGGACACAUAACUUUUAACUUUUAACAAUAACUGCAAUAUAGAAAAUAUAGUUUAUAUAAUCUAUUAUUUCAAGAAUUUAUGUACCUGUAAUAUAGAAAAUAUUAUACUUUCACAGUCAGGUAACACCUCUAUUUUUAUCCGCUCCUAUUGUUUGUGUCAGUUUUGCUAACAGGGCGUAAGUUGAAGGCAUUCUUUGACUUGCUUAUUGAACAUCCUGACCGUGCAAGAACCACAAAUUUAGUCUCUCCAUUUUCUCCUUUUUCUGUAGAUCUUAUUUUCACCGAAAAUCCAUUUUGAUUACCAUAAUUAGUGUAAUAUUCCAUGUAUAAAUUAACGGAAUCAAAUUCCAUUCCGACUUCCGGAUCUCUAAUCACUUCAUCAACUUCUUCACUUUCUACUAAAUCCUCCGCCAUAACACAUUCUUUAAUAUCAUUAAUUCUCAUACUUGAUUGAAACUCAUCACUACAUGCCAUUUCUGCAAAUUUAUAAAAAUAUAUUAACUACAUGCCAUAGAUAUAUAAAAAAAGUUCCCUCUUUUUCAUUUUUUUAAUGUAGCCUUAUCAAUCAAAAAUGAUGGUUAAUAUUGCUUAAAAAUGAUGUUUUUACCCCGACUGUUGAUAUUUGUACGCAUUUCUAGUUCUAAAAAAUACUUAUUAUUUUGUAAAGAAAAUUCUCAUAUUUUGCCCAUUCACAGUAGUACGAGUAUAUAUCAACAUGAAGAUUGAAAAGUUACCUCGAAAUUUCUUUUCUUGUUUUGAUUUAACAGAAACGAAAGACAAAAUAAAAAAAAACAUAAUUAGCAACAAAAAAAUUAAUAAACCUUAGCAUUAGAGAAAUCUUAGCAUUAGAGAAAACAACUAUCAUUGUAGUCCAGGACAUAACAUUUCUUUCACGCAUUUUAUCAAACAGUUCUUGAGCAUCAUGUAAAAGCUGAUGAGAAAAAAGUAUUUACAAAAUAUGAGCUUGGCAAUUAAACCCCUUCCUUUUCAAUUCUCAAAGAGUUUGCACAAAAUUUUCACCCAAAAUAAGAGUAUGCCCAAAUUAAUUUUAGGGUUUUGGGAAUUUAGGCGCAUGAGAGAGUAAUGGUAGGGAGAGGAGGAUGCGAAAUAGGAAGAUGAUACCUUGAAAGCCAAUGUUAUUUCACGAGGAAGCUUGUUCAGCGAAGCUUGGAGUUCAGUUUGGCGACUGGCAUGAGAGAGGAAGGAAGAUAAUAUUGAGAUACAUCGCUGUUUGGCAAAGUGAGAAGAGGAGCUUCCUCUGUUCCGGGCUCUUGACUUCUUUUUUUUUCCACUUCCUCUCUCAUACUGAUGUGGCACAGCCACAUCAGCCGGUCAUUAGAAAUGUCCCUAAACCCCGG
rnacentral:lncRNA from 1 species